rnacentral:rRNA from 1 species
ACUCCUACGGGAGGCAGCAGUGGGGAAUCUUGCGCAAUGGGCGAAAGCCUGACGCAGCCAUGCCGCGUGAAUGAUGAAGGUCUUAGGAUUGUAAAAUUCUUUCACCGGGGACGAUAAUGACGGUACCCGGAGAAGAAGCCCCGGCUAACUUCGUGCCAGCAGCCGCGGUAAUACGAAGGGGGCUAGCGUUGCUCGGAAUUACUGGGGCGUAAAGGGGAGCGUAGGCGGACAUUUAAGUCAGGGGUGAAAUCCCGGGGGCUCAACCUCGGAAUUGCCUUUGAUACUGGGGUGUCUUGAGUAUGAGAGAGGUGUGUGGAACUCCGAGUGUAGAGGUGAAAUUCGUAGAUAUUCGGAAGAACACCAGUGGCGAAGGCGACACACUGGCUCAUUACUGACGCUGAGGCUCGAAAGCGUGGGGAGCAAACAGGAUUAGAUACCCUGGUAGGAUAGCG